UACAGAGGGUGCAAGCGUUAAUCGGAAUUACUGGGCGUAAAGCGUGCGUAGACGGUUACAUAAGUCGGGUGUGAAAGCCCCGGGCUCAACCUGGGAAUUGCAUUCGAGACUGCGUAGCUAGGGUGCGGAAGAGGGAAGCGGAAUUUCCGGUGUAGCGGUGAAAUGCGUAGAGUAUCGGAAGGAACACCAGUGGCGAAAGCGGCUUCCUGGUCCAGCACCGACGUCAGGCACGAAAGCGUGGGGAGCAAACAGG
rnacentral:rRNA from 1 species